rnacentral:rRNA from 1 species
CCUACGGGCGGCUGCAGUGAGGAAUAUUGGUCAAUGGGGGGAACCCUGAACCAGCCAUCCCGCGUGCAGGAAGACAGUUCUAGCAAUUGUAAACUGCUUUUAUUAAAGAAGAAUAAGUUUGACUUGUCAAGCGAUGACAGUAUUUAAUGAAUAAGCAUCGGCUAACUCCGUGCCAGCAGCCGCGGUAAUACGGAGGAUGCAAGCGUUAUCCGGAUUUAUUAGGUUUAAAGGGUGUGUAGGCGGGAUUAUAAGUCAGUGGUGAAAGUUUUCAGCUCAACUGGAAAAUUGCCAUUGAAACUGUUUUUCUUGAGUUUGGUUGAGGUAUGCGGAAUGUGUAAUGUAGCGGUGAAAUGCUUAGAUAUUACCCAGAACCCCUAUUGCGAAGGCAGCAUGCUAACCCAUAACUGACGCUGAUGCACGAAAGCGUGGGGAUCAAACAGGCUUAGAUACCCCGGUAGUC